rnacentral:tRNA from 1 species
GCCUGUAGCUCAGUGGAAGAGCACUCGCCUAGCCUGUGUGAGGCACAGGGUUCGAUCCUCAGCACCACA